UAUAAACCAUGCUAUGUGCAUAAAUAACAUGCUGCAAGCCCGUCGGUAGUCUAUUUGAAGAGAUUGACUAUUAAAAGUACAAUCGUCUUAUUGGCAUCAGCCAAAGAACUUUCAGGACAAAAAAAAUUGUUAUUUAUCGAGUGUUUGAGAAUACCGACCACGACAUCAACCAAGUUAGACCAACUAAACGUGUGUUUUAUGUUCGUUGUACAAACACUUGAUGUAGAAUCAGAGCCAUCUGGCGAAGUGCAGAGGGCGCGAAGACGGAAGAUAGGACACUCCGCUUUGCUAGAGGAUUCUUCACAUGUGCGGUACUACAAAUCCAUUCUUGUCUGUCGAUUUAUUAGUUAGUCAGCAAGGAAUGACUAAUUAGGGUUUGACAGACGAAUCUAGACUACGUGUUUCGAUGGUAUGUUUACCGAGGAACAACUCAGUCCGGCGGGUAAUAGGAAUUUAAGAUUUCAAAUGAUUUUUAAUGAUAAUCUGCUCUUUUUGAGCGUGAACAUGAUGCUUAUAUUAAUCAGUAUACUUCACUGAUUGAACUUUUAUUCAGCAUCAUUCUUAUGUAUCGAUCCACACGGUAAUAAUUCGUAGACGAUUUGAUACGACUAAUAUUUGGAACUAACCAUUUUUUCUUUUUAAUAAUGCCGAAACCUUCCGAUAAUAAAUAUUACAAUGUGAUAUCUUUGAAAUUAAACAAUAUUUGCUCCUUUGACCGACCAAAUUAAAUAAAGAAGGGUUUCGGUUAGACUUCACACUGCAGUGAUUUAUGUGUUGUUAGUUAGAUAGGGCAAUAGGUUCUAUUCGUCAUUCUGGGGAUCAAGCUUUAAAGUCUCCUAAAUUAAAUCGGCCACAUGGAGCACAUAUUUGGAUGAGACUUGAGUUUUUCCCCUUUGUAUAUUAGACCACAGUACAGGGUCACAC